rnacentral:rRNA from 1 species
UGGGGAAUAUUGCACAAUGGGCGAAAGCCUGAUGCAGCAACGCCGCGUGAGUGAUGAAGGUCUUCGGAUUGUAAAGCCCUGUCUUUUGGGACGAUAAUGACGGUACCAAAGGAGGAAGCCACGGCUAACUACGUGCCAGCAGCCGCGGUAAUACGUAGGUGGCGAGCGUUGUCCGGAUUUACUGGGCGUAAAGGGUGCGUAGGCGGAUGUUUAAGUGAGAUGUGAAAUACCCGGGCUUAACUUGGGUGCUGCAUUUCAAACUGGAUAUCUAGAGUGCAGGAGAGGAGAAUGGAAUUCCUAGUGUAGCGGUGAAAUGCGUAGAGAUUAGGAAGAACACCAGUGGCGAAGGCGAUUCUCUGGACUGUAACUGACGCUGAGGCACGAAAGCGUGGGUAGCAAACAGGAUUAGAUACCCUGGUAGUCCACGCCGUAAACGAUGAGUACUAGGUGUAGGAGGUAUCGACCCCUUCUGUGCCGCAGUAAACACAUUAAGUACUCCGCCUGGGAAGUACGAUCGCAAGAUUAAAACUCUAAAGUGAAUUGAC